AGAGAAUUAACAAAGGAGAGGCAACUGAAAACACAUAUCUUCCCAAAGUACCCUCACCCCAAUAUUUAUUCACUGAUCUAUCCCUUCUCCUCGACCCCCAAAAUAUAUUUCAAAACCCUAGAACCGCAAUAUCCAAUUCUAAUUUCUAAAAGCUUUGUGUUCUCGGGGAGCAAUUACAAUCCAGAAUACUCACAAACGAUUGUUCGAUUAAAUAGCUAUUUCAUCAAUUCUUCGAGAAAGGUUGUGGCUGUUGGAAAGAAAUUUUGCUCAAAUGAGGUUCAAAAAGGGUGAUAAGGUGGAAGUAAUGAACAGAGCAGAGGUGCCAAUCUCAUGGCGUGCUGCCGAGAUAGUGUCUGGUAAUGGCCACUCUUGCAGUGUUAGAUAUGGUUCUGGUUCACCAAUGCAAAGUGAAAAUAUCGAAGAAAGGGUAUCAAGGAAGAUGAUAAGGCCCUGCCCCCCUGUAGUGCAGUGUGUGGAGACUUGGGCACCUGGGGACAUUGUGGAGGUAUAUAAUGACUGCUCUUGGAAAGUUGCCAUCAUGCUCAGUAUUUUACCACGUGAUCGUUAUUUGGUGAGACUACUUGGUUGCUCUCUAGAACUUAGCAUUCAUAUAUCAGGCAUGAGAGCUCGACAAAAUUGGAAAGAUGGCAAAUGGAUUUUUAUCAGAAAGGGUUGUGAUCAAGCUGGGACCCAGAGAUCUAACAAAAUUACAGCUCAAGAUUAUAAUCGGAAGAUGAAGUCGCAGCCGCUGCAACUUGAUGCACAUACUAAAGUUCUUGGAGAAACUGAUGGUUUAGCCACUGAAGGAAAAAAUAGAGGACAAGAGUCUUGUUUAAUCUCAUCAAGAUCCCUAAAGAGAAUGUCUCCUUAUUGCACAUCUGGUGUUGAUUCACUUUAUGGGAAUGCUCAGAAAUUUCAAGCAAUUGAGACAGAUAAUCGCAGGCAACGAGCAGCUCUGGUGACCUUACAGGAAAAGGGCCAAAAAUUGAAGCAUCAUCCCUUGCUUCCAUAUGUAUAAAGAUGAUGCUGGGAUUUGUGGCCAUUCAAGUGGGCAUAAAAUGGGGAUACUGUAAGCAUCUGCUUUCCCAGAAAUCUUGGCAAAUCUCUCAUAUCACAGGUUUCCUAUUUUGUUUGCAGUUUAACAUUGUUUGUAUCUGAGCUUCAAAUCUGCAUAAAUUCCGUCUUUCUGAUGGAAAAAAGAGUUGAUGAUAUGUUCUUUGCAGUUCUUCAUUGAAGAUUUGUUGUUGGAAGAUGUAGACAUGUAGUGAAUUUUGUUUGGUACAUUCUAUAUAACUUUAGAAAAGGCGUCUCAAGCGAGAAGAUACUUGUCUUCCUGAUUUGGUUGGUGCUUUAGUUAUUGCAAGGUGGUACAGGCGAGCUAAUGUUCUCAUGUAGUAAUAUGCUGUGUCCCAUCCACAACACUACAAGGCCUUUUUGCUUUUUGCUUUGUCGGCCACGGAUUGUUCAAGCUUGUAAACAAGCUAUUAAAACUCGUUAAUUUCACUGCCUGGGAGUUGGGGACAUGACAAUGGCACCGAGAUUGGGAAUUAAAUCCUAGAAGAGGCUUUAAUGAUUGGGAGAUGGAAGAAGUAGGGCAAUUACUCCAAUUACUUGGCACAACAGUGGUGGAGGAAGACAAGGAGGAUCUUAUGGUUUGGACAGCAAGCAAUGAUCUGUGAUAUUCUGUCAAAAGCUGUUAUAAUCUUCUCCAGGAACAAAAUGAUCAGUAUGAAUCUAAUUGGCCAUGGAAAAUGUUAUGGAGAACCAAAGCACCUACCAAAGUAGAGAAGCCAAUUUAACUCAAGAUAAUUUACAAAAAAGGGGAUUCUGCCUAAGUAACAAAUGCUACUUAUGUGAAGAAGGGUUGGAAACUUUUAAUCAUCUAUUUAUCCAUUGUAAAAUUGCUGAACAGUGCUGGGAGCUUUUUCUGAAUCUGUGUGGCAUUUCGUGGACUAUGCCUCCCGACAUAAGAUCCUUACUGAUAAGUUGGCAAGGGCAGAAGGUAUCAAGGAAUCAGAAGCAACUAUGGUGGAUCAUCCCUCUAUGCAUUUUCUGGACCAUCUGUGAAGAAAGUAACAAUGUUUGCUUCGAGGACAAGAGGAAUCACAUUGCUAGAAUAAAAAAUGUGUAUUCAAAAUUUAUUUUUUUGGUGUAAGAAAUGUUUAGUUGAAAGUCUAGAUCAAUAUUUGGGUGUGCUAUUCAACUUGUAACUGGAAGUAUGCUGUUAUAGGUGUUGUCUGAUUUUGGUGUAAACUUAUGUACCAUCUUGGUGCUUUUAUCAAUAAAAUCUUUACCUUAUCAA